rnacentral:sRNA from 1 species
GCUGCUGGCGGUGGCGCACCUGGCCGCCAGGCCGGGAUCAGCGGCGGC